UGGCCACACCAAGUGCUAAUGCUCAACUAACUCCUUGCUUCUGAUUCCAUUCAGGACUGCUGCCUUCAAGAUGCUGCUGCCAUAUUCAAGUUAGGUUUUCUUACCUCAAUUAGCCUAACACAAUGCCUCACAGACACACCUAGAGGCUAACCUAAUAUGGAUAACCCCUCAGGCAUGUCAUAGGCUUGUCUCCUCGGUGACUCUAGAGACUGUAACGUUGACAAUCAAUAUCUACCAUUAUCCAUCCUCCCAAAUGACUCUACAUUGUGUCAAGUUGACAAAAAAAAAAAAAUCAGCCUGAAUGCCGGACAGUGGUGGAGCACAUGGACCUCUGAGUUAAAGGCCAGCCUGGUCUAUAGAGUGAGUUCCUGGAUAGCAAGGGUUACACAGAGAAACCCUGAAAAAAAAAAAGAAAGAAAGAAAGGAAAAGAAAAAGAAAAUUGCCUGCACAAACAGUUUUUGUCUUAACUGCUAAGACAUCCAGACCCAUCAGUUUUUCUCCUUUGACUGUCAUCUAUUAAUAUGGGCAAACAUAACAAAAAUCUCACUGAAUCCCCAGUAAACCAGGAUAUUACUUAAAACCUUUGAAGCAAUAUUUUAUGUUCUUGGAGAAACAUCUGUUUUGAGAAGAUUUCCAAGAUGAACAAGAUAUUUUACCUUCUAAUUUCUGGUAGAGUGGGUGGGUCUUUGAGAGGUAAUGCUGAAAUGAAGUUUUAAGCACAAGAAGUUUAUAGGAGAAAUGAGAGGCCAAUCAGGAAACAUGUGUGACAAACAGGAAGAAAGCCAACAGAGCACCAGCAGCUGUUGUUCUGCCAUCCCUCCAGCCUUCCCUCACAGCCUCCUUGGUGUUUUUCCAGUUCUAAGCACCAGCUGGUCCACAGGCAGAAUUCCAACACCAUGACAAUGGAAGACACAUGCCUGUAGAGGUCAGGCUCUGGCACAACAUGGCUUCUGCCACAUUUUACAGAUACAACUGAGUCGAAUCACAGGGAUUUCUCAGAUCCAAGAUGUAAGGAAAGUGAUUCAAAUCCCAAUGGAAGAGUUAUUAAAUAUUGGGUCAGUGUUUUCCAACUUGUAGCAGAUGGCUCUUUGCCAACAUGUGGUCAGAGCUGUGGUGAGCUCCUAAAGGUGAACUUGCUGAGUCAAAUAUAUUAGCAGUUUCCCGAGACAUUGCCACAUUACACUUCACAGAAGUAUUGAUUUUGAAUUGAACCUCAAUGUGUGAGGCUACCAGACCAGGUUUUCCUAUGCCUCACAAUCUUCCUUUGCCACUUUGAUAGUUAAAAGUGGCAUCUCCCUGUACUUCUAACUCAUACUUCUCACAGGAUGAGAGGGAUUGGACAGAUCUUACGUAGCUAUAUUUUCUCUUCUUGAAAUUGGUAUUCAUCAAUCGUCCCCUUGGUUUAUUGCCUUGUUGUCUUAGGGUAUACUAAAGAACUUACAUGUGCUAUUAUAGAUGUGCUUGGUACCAACUCUGGGACAGUUUGCAAUGUUUACUCUGUGAACUUGAAGUGUUCUUAGAUACCUAACUUUGAUCCUAAUGAAGUCUACAAAUCCUCUCCUCCCCUGGGAAAGUCCGAUGGUAUAAGAGAUGGUAAUGCCUUUUAAAUAAGUAAAGUGUGCUAAUUUCACUCAUUAUGUGCAGAUUCACUGACUUUUAAUAAGCUGGUUAUAAAGUAGGGGGUUCUCAUGAUUCCAUGGAAGUUCAAAAUUCUUCUGGAACAAGUCAGUAAUGAGAUGAUACAACUAAGAACCAGUCAGUAGAUUCAGUAUAGGGGCCCCAUGCCUGCCCCAGCAAUUGGAAUGCUGAAGUGGGAUUGUGAGUUCAAGGUUAUUCUUGGCUACAUGCAAGAGGGACCUUGGCAGGAAGCCCCAUAGAGAGUGAGGGACAAACACACCGUGCAGACAGAGCUUAUGUGAGAAGUUUUAUUGGGGGAAAGGGAAGGGAG
ensembl:lincRNA